GAUUUACUACUACAUCUACCCCUACCUAGCUAACCUAUUUUACUAAGAUCAUAUCACUCUUUCUCUAGUUACUAAUAAAAUAGCAAACUACAUGUUCUUGUCAGUUAAAAAUUUUUAUUUCGCCUUUUCGAUUAGUUUAUUUCUAGUAGUUCUUUCUUUAGCAAUCACAAUCGACCAUGUUAGCCCUCUUCUAAAGUGUUUGACGAAGAUCACAAAUAACUCAUGCUCAGUAGGCCGGUACAGUUUAUUAAUUUCAUAUUAUUUUUUGACAUGUAGAUGAAUAUGAUUAUCAACGAGUGUCUCAGACUAUAUCCUCCAGUUCUCACUUUAACAAGAAAAGUACAGCAGGGAGUUAAACUAGGGAAUCUGAACCUUCCAGGCAAUAUCAACAUCUUCAUUUCAAUUCUGGCACUGCAUCACAACCCUCAAAUCUGGGGCAAAGAUGUUCAUAUAUUCAAACCAGAGAGAUUUGCCGGGGGAGUUGCUAAAGCUACAAACAAUAAUGUUGCUGCAUUCUUUCCCUUCGGGGUGGGGCCUCGAACUUGUGUAGGCUUAAACUUCACCACCAAUGAAGCCAAAAUUGCACUUUCAAUGAUUCUGCAGCGUUACAAAUUCUUGUUAUCUCCUAAUUAUGUCCACUGCCCUGCUGAUAUUUUCAUUCUUACUCCAAAACAUGGGGUUCAAGUCAUUCUCCAAGCAAUUUAAAAGGAGAGAAGUGUUUCACUUCAAGGAUGACAGUAUUUAUAUGGUAGACAUAUAAAUUUUCUGCAAUUAUGUUUAGUAUCAUAAUGUAAAGUAUAAUGUUGGAAAACCUGUUCCAUAUUGCCAAAGAAAUGUGAAGCUAACUGCAUGUUUGAUUAAGCUUAAAAAAUUUACUUAUAAGAAAAUUUUAAGAAUUUAUUUUAUUGCUUAAAAUCAGAAAUAUAAGUUACUUAUUUAAUGGUAAGAAUUUCUUAACAGGUAAUAAAUUUUAAUCCUUGUCUUACAAAGGCAUGUACACUCGGGCCUUAAUUACAACUGCCAGUUUUAUUAAUGUCUGUUAGGAUAUGCAGCAAUUCAAGAACUCCAGUCGAUUGAAGCCGGAAAAAUGAAUAGAGAACAACUAUGUUUUGUUAAUCUACUGUUGAGCAAAGGAAGAAAAUUAUUUGAUGUAUUAUUGAUGAAAUGAGAUGCCCUUAUUUGAUGGUCAUUGUUUGGGGAAAAAAUGUUUUGGAUAUUGAAUUUUUAAAGAAUGCGUGAUUAAAAAAUAGAGACAAGUUUUAAGUUUAUAUACAUAAUAUUUCAUCACGUAAAUUUGUAUUUGAAAAUAAAUAUGUAGAAAAAAGAGUUUGGAAUUACAUGCCAUCAAACAUGGCUAAAGAAUUGAUAGGCAUUCAUAGAGCAAUCAUACUAUUUGUACAGUAUUUUUUUACAAUGUCAAUUGACAAUACACGCUUGACAACAUCACAUUAUCUAUUUUAAAAACCAUUUUUUAAAUUAACAGUCCAAAUUUUGACAACAUCAAUAGUAUCAUCCACAAUUGUCAACAAUAAUUGUACAAAUAACUUUAUUCUUCAUCGAGGCCUACUUUUACCUAAGUGCUAAAAGAUUGUUUGAGUGUUUUUUGAAAGCCUAGAAGCCCUAUUUGGAACUGAAAAAACACUUCUGAUUGAAUAGUGAUUGAUUAGUUGUAGUAAAAAUGUACACGAAGAAGCUUUUUAAGUUGUUUUUGAGAAGUUAAGGGUGUGUUCCUUUUUCGUUUUGGGACCUUUUUUUGUUUUCAGUUUUUGAAAACGGUGAAAACACAUUCUCUUUCCAUUUUUGAUGUUCUUGAAGAACACAAAAGCAGCAAAGAAUUUUAUGCGUGAAGUCACAAAUAUUAAUCCCUAAUUGGAUUUUGACAUAUGCGCCAUAUAUGCGGGACAUAUUUUGAAUAUGAAAAAGUCCGAAAUACAGAAAAAUGAACUUUUCUUUUUUCUUUUAUUAAAAUUGUCAUGUAUACGUAUAUGAUUCGGACGCGUGGCGUCCUCCACUCCCAUAUAUCAAGUAUACGUGACUGAUUGGUUGGUACAUGUUCGUUCAAUUUAAUUAAUUCCACUACUAGGGACGGAUGGGGACUGAGCUGGGCUAUAGUCCCCUCUCCCCCCCCCCCCCCCAAAGGCCCCAAAAAAAUUUUUUUUNNNNNNNNNNNNNNNNNNNNNNNNNNNNNNNNNNNNNNNNNNNNNNNNNNNNNNNNNNNNNNNNNNNNNNNNNNNGGGGGGGGGGUGGGGGGGGGGAGGGGGGGCUGGGCUGGGUUGUAGUCCCCCGCAAGGCCCAAGAAUUUUAUUUUUUUUGGUAAGGCAUUUUUCAUUUUUUUUUUUUUUUGCAAAAUUAGUUUUUUUUUUGUAAUUUUUUUUUCGCGUAUUAACCCGGCUUGAAAUUUUGUAGCCUGAUCUUGGAUCUAAUCCUGAUCUGUCCCUGUCCACUACAAUCUACAAUAAAUUAUAACUCUUCUAAUAUAAUUUAUCACGAUUCUUAUUUUGAAGCCAUUAAAGGGAUCUCAUCGGAUCCAAUUAAACUAAGCUCCAUUAAAUUAAAUUUGACCCCGAUUAUCUCUUGAUGGAUCAAAAGAACUAGUUAAUCUCGUUCUAUUCCAUUAAAGAACAAGAUUGCACGAUCAAUCUAAUUGAAACGAUUGAAACUGAAUGUUUGGUGGGAAUUAAAAUUAGAUUUUUAGUAGAUUGUGAUAAAAGUUUUUGAAAUGCGUGGUUAAAAAGUUGUGAAAUUUAUGAAAGAUUUGAUUAAUAUUGAUUGUUUGACUUUGACUUACAUUAAAAUCAUAUUUUAAUUUAAACCAAACAUGCACAUAUUUAUAUUAUCUUAUAUAUCGUUUUUACAUAACACCCGUCGACCAUUUCAAAUAUAUAGAACAAGGUAGAGAUAACCAAAAUGUGCUUUCCAAAUAUUCAAAGAUUCUCAAGUUCCAUUUUUUAAUUUUUUUUAUCUAAAAAUAUCAUGUGAUCACGUCACGAUAUUAAUUCAACAAUUAAUAUUGAAUUAUUAAACUCAGAUUUGAAUGUCUAAUAGAAAAUCUUGUGAGAUCAUGAUCGUACCCAUUAGAUAAAUGAUGAUUUCAUAUUACAUAUAUAUGUUCCCUGUUAAUUCAUUUUAAUAUCUAAGGCAAUGAAAUAUUGAUCAACAAUUUGAUCUCACCUAUUGAUACCUGAAAUAAGUUUAAGUUAGUAAUCAAAGUUUGUUACCCGUUUAUGACUGAAUUCCCAUAUAUGAUAGUCAAGUGAAAUUUGUAUGAUCAAUAUCACAAAUUAGAUUUCUCGUGAUCUAGUCAAUUACAUUCAAAAAGUACUCUCAAUCUUCCUACAAUCAAAGAUAGACUUUAAUAAAAUCGAGACAAUCUUAUCAAAGUAAAGUUUUCAUCUUUGUUUAUCGAUCAUGGACUUAUCAAAACAAAGUGUUUGUCUUAAUUUAUCAAUCUUGUACUUCAAAUUUUUAAAUCAAAUCUUUCCUACUUUAAUAACCCGUACACUCGCUUUCUACUAUCAAACUAAUAUACAAACAAAUGCAAGCUCAAAUCAAUGCACUCAAUUACAUCGAAAUAAAUUAUAUUUUAUUUCAAAAUAUCACGAUUACUGAUAUAUUUACUCAUAAGUAGAGAUGACAAUGGGCCGAGCUCGGCUCGUGCUCAAGGGGUGAGCUUGGCUUGGCUCGGCUCACGAGCUCGUGUGUUCACGAGCCAUGAGCUCUAUAGAUUUUUUAUUUUUUAUUUUUUUAAUUUAUUAUUAUUAUUUUUUGGCAAUUUUCAAACUUUUCUUCACACUUUUUACGAGCCCACGAGCCGAGGGCUCGUGAACUUUACGAACCAAGCACUCUACUCAUUGGUUCCCACCCCUGCUCGGCUUGUGCUCGGGCUCGUCAUUUGACGAGUUGAGUUUUAUUGAGUAGAGUAGCCAUUCGACCCGUUUGACAUCCCUACUCAUAGGCAAAUACUAUCCAAUACCAAUAUGUAAUAGUUUGUCACCAAUUCUUGGCAUAUAUUUCAUGUUUUUUACCGUUAACUUUAAUUAUGCAAUGCCUAAGGAGUGAGAAUUCAUAGAUCAUAGAGACGACUAGCAAAAAGGGGGCUUCUAAUCAAACUUUGAAUUCUUCGGGUUGCUGAGAUUUCGAAUAACGUCCAUGAUCAAGGGGUCAAGCGGAUGGCUUUUUCACUCUAGAAUCUUGCAUAUUUUAAUGAAAAAUUUUGCGUGACGAAAUCCAUGAUCUCAUCUUGUCUUUCAGUCUUCAUUAUAUACUAAGUUUAAUUAUUACUAAACCAAAAUAUAGGCAAUUAUUGUACUCGUCGAUCUCGGAUGAAUUGGACUCAUCCAUUGCUCCAAAACUCUCAUUAUCUCUGAAAACAUAAUAAAUGAAUGUGGUCCACGGCCUAAAACUCAAUUAAAGCCCGUCUCCGUUGCUCAACUGUGUAAUCAGUUUUUUCUUGAAUAAAGUUCCCAUUCAAUCUACAGUUUCUCUAAUGAAGCCAAAGCUGGGAAUUGGACUUAUGUGUCCUAUAUUUCUAACCAACAGAUUCCUGGCACCCUAGCCAUGGCCAAAAGUCUAGUACAUAUACAAUCCCAGGGAACUUCAAGAUUGAAUGAAAAAUGGAUUUAGUUACAGUUAUAUUAUUCUCUAUUUGCAGUACUUUAUGCUUCCAUUUUAUUCUGAUUCUAAUUAGAUUCAUUGAUAAGGUAUGGCGGACUCCAAUUCAACUACAGACUAUGAUGAAAUCACAGGGAAUCAGAGGUCCUCAAUACAGAUUUCCUCAUGGGAGUACCAAAGAAAUCUCUAAAAUGAGGAGCCAAUCUAUGGAAAAGCCAAUGGAAAUGUCACACAGUAUAUUUCCUAGAAUACAGCCUCAUAUUUAUUCGUGGACGAAAACUUAUGGUAAAUUUAGCUUCUUAUUAGAAUUUCUUGUUUUCUUAUUUGAUUUCAGCAAUGAACUGAGCAUAGUGGUGGAAAAGCUCUGUGUAAAUUUAAUCUCUUACUUGAAUGUUUUACUUUCUUGUUGACAGGGAUGAAUUUUCUUAAUUGGCAUGGGUCACAAGCACAGUUGUUUGUGACAGAGCCAGAGCUAAUCAAAGAAAUACUGAUGAAUAGAGAAGGUUUCUACCCGAAAAUGGAAAUGGAAGGGCAUGCUAAGAACCUGCUAGGUGAAUCUCUUAUAACGAAUGAGGGUGAAAAAUGGGCAAAGAUACGGAAACUGGCAAACCAUACUUUCCAUGCAGAGAGUCUAAAGGUAUAUCUUAGAAAUUAUGUGCAUAUUUGAUAUGACGCCGUACUAGACUUUAUAAUAUAAUGAACAAUAUUUUCGCUUCUUUUUGUACCAUAUUAUGGCUUCUAAUGUGAAGGGCUUAUCUUUAUGUAGAGUAUGGUUCCGGAAAUGAGUUCAGGCGUUGAGAUGCUGCUUGAGAGGUGGAAAGGUCAUAUCGGAGAAGAGAUCGACGUGUUUAAAGAGUUUGGAUUGUUAACAACCGAAGUAAUUUCAAGGACAGCAUUCGGAAGUAGCUACAUCGAAGGAGGCCAUAUAUUUGAGAUGGUGGCAAAGUUGACAGAAAUAACUGUUAGAAAUAUUUACAGAGUCAGAUUUCCUGGCAUAAGGUAUGUUACAUACGGUUGUGCUCUAUGUACAUAAUGAUUUAAGUAAUGGUUUACAUACACAUAAUGUGGUGAGAUGUGAUUGGGCAUAAUUUCUUCAUCUAGAUUAAGGGAAAAAAAGAAAAGAAAAAAGGAACUGCACUACUCUUUUUUAGGCAUCUCAUCUGUAUGUAAAUUAUUAUGUAAUUUCAUUAUGUACAAGCAUCAUCAUUCUAUUAUAUAUUCAAAAUAUUAUAUUCAAAUAAUGCAACUAAAAUUUUAUGACUAAUUGAUCAUCCGUUUUUGUAAACAUCUGCAGUAUGCUAUUAAAGUCAGAUGAUGAGAUCAAAGCAGAGAAACUCAAAGAAGGAAUAAAAAGUUCCAUCUUUGAGCUUGUAAAGAAGAGGGAAAAAGUGAAAAAUAACGGAGAAUUUGAAGAUUUCGGAAGUGAUUAUCUUGGACAACUGUUGAAAAUUUUUCAUGAAGCUGAUACAAAAAAGAGGAUUACAAUUGAACAGAUGAUUGAUGAGAUCAAAGCAAUGUAUGGUGCUGGACAUCUUACAACUACAAGCUUACUUUCAUGGUGUAUUUUUCUACUGGCAAUCCAUACUGAUUGGCAAGAGAAAGCAAGAGAAGAGGUGUUUGGAAUAUUUAGCAGUGAAAAACCGAAUUCAGAUGGCAUUGCACGAAUGAAAAUAGUAAGCCUUAUUCCCCUUAUUCCCUUUACAUUUGGGGUUGGCAUCGUGAAUCCUUUUAUACGACUCCGUGGGAUUUACUACUACAUCUACCCCUACCUAGCUAACCUAUUUUACUAAGAUCAUAUCACUCUUUCUCUAGUUACUAAUAAAAUAGCAAACUACAUGUUCUUGUCAGUUAAAAAUUUUUAUUUCGCCUUUUCGAUUAGUUUAUUUCUAGUAGUUCUUUCUUUAGCAAUCACAAUCGACCAUGUUAGCCCUCUUCUAAAGUGUUUGACGAAGAUCACAAAUAACUCAUGCUCAGUAGGCCGGUACAGUUUAUUAAUUUCAUAUUAUUUUUUGACAUGUAGAUGAAUAUGAUUAUCAACGAGUGUCUCAGACUAUAUCCUCCAGUUCUCACUUUAACAAGAAAAGUACAGCAGGGAGUUAAACUAGGGAAUCUGAACCUUCCAGGCAAUAUCAACAUCUUCAUUUCAAUUCUGGCACUGCAUCACAACCCUCAAAUCUGGGGCAAAGAUGUUCAUAUAUUCAAACCAGAGAGAUUUGCCGGGGGAGUUGCUAAAGCUACAAACAAUAAUGUUGCUGCAUUCUUU
rnacentral:lncRNA from 1 species